CCGAAAGGUGGUCUAAUACUUCAUAAUAUCCAUCUCGUAUGGAUUAAAGCUUUAUGCGCUUUGGAGGGGCCUGCGUAACAUUAGCUUGUUGGUGAGGUAAAAGCUCACCAAGGCUUCGAUGUUUAACUGGUUUGAGAGGAUGACCAGUCACACUGGACUGAGAUACGGCCCAGACUCCUACGGGAGGCAGCAGUAAGGAAUCUUCCACAAUGGGGGCAACCCUGAUGGAGCAAUACCGCGUGCAGGAUGAAGCGUUUCGGCGUGUAAACUGCUUUUAUCACCGAAGAUUAUGACUGUAGGUGAAGAAUAAGGACCGGCUAACUACGUG
rnacentral:rRNA from 1 species